CAUUGGCUACACAUUUUACCUAGCAUAGCUUCAGUCCAGUCCUAAAGGGUUCCUAAAAUUCAGAAGUAUUCCAACUGUAUAACACAGAAACACACACCGGCUACUUUGUAGUUUAAAUCUGGUUCUCAUGGUAUUGUUACUAUCAAUAUUAUACAGUCUUUUUUAAUAUUUAAUCUUCCUUUACAUCUACAACAGUAGUUCUCAACCUUCCUAAUGCUGUGACCCUUUAAUAUAGUUCCUCAUGCUGCAGUAAUACCCCCAACUUAUAAUUAUUUUGUUGCUACUUCAUAACUGUAAUGUUGCAACUAUUAUGAAUCAUAAUGUAAAAAUCUGAUCUGCAAUUCCAGGGGUCCACAGGUUGUAGACCAUUAAUCUAUGGGAUUCUUAAAAUCAACUGUCCCUUUUCCUUCUGUAUUUCUAAUCUCUUUAAGUUAAUAGCAGUAAGGAAGUUAGGUAAAUUAGGUAAGGAAGUCUGCCCUGACUGUGAUGUCCAGUCUCUUGGUUUGUUCUUCAGGUUGGCUUUGGCUAGUCACCCUUUACCUCAGAUCUUUGAUUACAGAACCCAUCAUGUGGAAAUGAUACCUUGACCUCAGCAUGCAGGUUGAGGACCCCAGCAAUUUUAACAGUAGAACAAAAACCUAGUGCGUUAUUGUGGCAAUGUAGUGACUAUUCUGUUAAAAGAGCAGAGAUUUUAAGUUGGUUGUUGAAAACUGUUGAAAACUAUGGGUUUAGUUUCACUUUGUUUUUUGAUUGUUUUUUUUUUUUUUCCCAAACAUUCUCCCCUUGGUUUACAUUGCCCAGUUAAGAAUUUAAAAGGACGCCUUUGCUAAAGCCUCAGGUUCCACCUGGUUUGGGGGUGAAAGCACAGGAAGCCACUGCAUUUUGCAUAGUUUCCAUUUGAAAAGGUCUACCAGCCCGGGUUCUCUUUCAGGGUGGGCCAGGCUUCCGGGAACCUUGGCCAAGCCUUUAGAUAAACCUGCUGGAGGUUGGGAUUUUGUAUCAGAUCCUCAAAUGCCACUCAGCUAGUUCCACCUUUGAAAAGCUGCCAUUGUAAUGUCCCCAGAGUGUGCAUAGCCAUUCCUAAAGGGUGAGGUGGACUGACACCUCGUAGUGUAAUGUGGGGGAGAAUUUUUCAGCCACUUGGCAUUUGUUCACUCUAAUUGGGAAACCAGACAGGCUGGGUUAUAGAGGCUCUGGUGUCAGGCAAAGUAUUUGAGGAAGGAAUUUCUUUUGAUGUCUCAACAAAAGGAUUUUCAAGUAAAUAGCUUGGAGACCUAUUUAAUUCUUUUUCUUUUUUGCUUUGUUUCUUCCUUUACUUAAACAUUCAUCAAUGCAACCAAUAUUCACCAAGCAUUCCUACAGGCCAGGUGUGUUUUAAAUGCCUGUCAUUGUGACAACACCUGAGCAGAUCAACUCAGGAAAACACUUUGUUUGCACUGUGUCAGGAGAGGACAAAAGACCGAAGUGUGUGGCAGAGAAGACUGCUCACUUCAUGGAUGAGACAGGGAUGUCGAUAUUCCCUUCGAAGGCAGGCCCCAAAUGCUCUGUCUUCCAUUAGACUUCCUGCCUAAAGGUUUCACUACUUCCUGGGUACACCAGAGUUGAUCAACAAAACCUUCAGAGAAAAACCUUUGGGGCACAUCUAAGAAUCAAACUAUGAAACCAAUCAGGAUGCCAUGUGCCCAUAAUUUCAGCCUUCAAGAGGCCAGUGCAGAAGGCUCACAAAUUCAAAUGUGAGCCUGAGCUACAUAAUAAGACACACUAUAAAAUACAAAACAAACAAAUAAAAAACAAAAAAUAAUCAAACUAUAGAAUAUGCCAAGCCUCAUUCUAAGAAUUUGAAAUGUAUCAGCGAGUAAAAUAUUUAGAGACCUGGAACUCUGUGUAUAUCAUGUUCUAGUAAGAGGAGGAAGAUAAUCUACUCAUUUCUACCAAGUCUAUAUAGUCUAUUAGAACAGAGAGCAAAAUGAGCAAUCAGGUACAUUGCAAUGCUAAAAAGGAAGGUUUGCUGAGAAAAGGUUUAAAUUUGAAGGACAUAGAGAAGUCGAAGCUGGGAAUCUUAUAGAACACCAGGAAAUGGAGGGAUGGCUCAGUGGUUAAGGAUACCCACAAGUUCAGUUCCCAGCACCCCUGUUGGCACUGACAACUACUUAUGACUUUAGCCCCAGGGUAUCUGUGUUCACAUGCAUAUGUGUCCCCAAUACAUAUGCAUAAUUAAGAAUAAUAAAAAUAAUCUUUAAGAAAGAAAGCAUUCCAUCGAGGAAAAAACUAACAUAAAAAGACCACUAUAAACC
rnacentral:lncRNA from 1 species